AUACGGAGGGUGCGAGCGUUAAUCGGAAUUACUGGGCGUAAAGCGUACGUAGGCGGUUGGUUAAGUUAGAUGUGAAAGCCCCGGGCUUAACCUGGGAACUGCAUUUAAAACUGGCGAACUAGAGUUGAGUAGAGGGGAGUGGAAUUUCAGGUGUAGCGGUGAAAUGCGUAGAGAUCUGAAGGAACACCGGUGGCGAAGGCGACUCCCUGGACUCGAACUGACGCUGAGGUACGAAAGCGUGGGUAGCAAACGGGAUUAGAAACCCUAGUAGUCC
rnacentral:rRNA from 1 species